ensembl:lncRNA
UUUGGAACUAGAAGCCACCCUAGAUGGUCUAUCCGGGCUCCUCAGCUGUGAAGAGAAUAGAGGACCAGGGAGGCCAGCAAAUUCCUUACGGUCAGGCGCUUCACAGGAGAACAAAAGAGCUUCCCUCAUUCAGUAGAUGUGUUUGCUUCUGCUGCAGAGGGAUUCCAGCCUGACUGGGGUAUCUGUACCUUAAGGCAACAGAAGAAAAACAAGAGAGUCAAGCACAACCCAGAGAUCCAGUGCCAAAUGAAUCAGUAUGUAAAUUAUCUGCAGUGACGACUCACCUCAAGACAAGCCCAAAGAUCCCCCUGCAGGCACCCAAAGCUGGCAAGCAGAAGUCAUCUUUGGUGAUUAAGUAGAAUAUCUACCCAAUUGCCAGGAGCUUCAGAAACCUUAAUGGCACUUUGGCAAGCAUGGCAGCAGUAAUUGUACAGCAAGUACAAUGGGUGGGGGACGUUGGGAGUGCAAAGAGCUGUAAUCUUCUCCCUUCUUUCCCCCAGCAGCUCUGAAAAAAGUGGACUAGGAUCUAAAUUAGGUGUUAUUUUAGAUUACAACUUGUCACACCUAGUGCAAGUGACACCUUCAGACUGCCAGAUUCCAGCUGGAAAUUUGUUGGUGUUUAGAGAUGGCAGUAGGCUCAUUGAUUCAUUGGAUUGGUCAUCCAAAUAACAUGGAUCAUGCCCAUCAAAAAGAUCUGUCAGUCUGUGGACACAGGGAUCGUUGGGUGAUCCCUGAGAUCUAAAAGAGUAAGCUUGGGAUUAUCACUGCUAAAUGCCUGUUUAUUAACGACUUCUAGGCAGAGGGCAUCGGAAAAGGCAAUGGCACCCCACUCCAGUACUCUUGCCUGGAAAUCCCAUGGAUGAAGGAGCCUGGUAGGCUGCAGUCCAUGGGGUCGCGAAGUCACACACAACUGAGGGACUUCACCUUCACUUUUCACGUUCAUGCAUUGGAGAAGGAAAUGGCAACCCACUCCAGUGUUCUUGCCUGGAGAAUCCCAGGGACGGAGGAGCCUGGUGGGCUGCCGUCUAUGGGGUCGCACAGAGUCAGACACGACUGAGGCGACGCAGCAGCAGCAGCAGCAGCAGCAGCAGCAGCAGCAGCAGCAGGCAGAGGGCAUGCCCUAGAUGUUUUCCGACCUUUACCUUUGAUAGAGUAUUGAAAACUAGAUUUGAUGUUCCUUGUGAAGGAUCAAAGAAACUGGUUCAUUAUACCCCCAAGAGGAAAAUUAGGAGAUCCCCCUACAAAUUUAUAGUAGCCAUAUAGAUGGACCUUCGUCUCAUCUCCCUCUCACUGCCUUGAGCUGAGGGAAAUGGAGUUGGGCUAAAGUUGUGCUAAUUUAUGUACUGUGUGCAUGCUAAGUGUCUGACUCUUUGUGACCCCUGGACUGUAGCCCUCCAGGCUCCUCCGUCCAUGGGGUUCUCCCAGGCAAGAAUACUGGAGUGGGUUGCCAUGCCCUCCUCCAAGGGAUCUUCCUGACCCAGAGAUCGAACCCAUGUCUUUUACACCUCCUGCAUUGGCAAGUGGGUUCUUUACCACUAGCACCACCUACAGAUGCAAGGCAUCACAGGGAUAAAAGAUCAAUUGAACAUGGGCCAUCCUUGACCUAAAGGGAGAAAAACCUUUUCACAUGUAAUUGCAAUAUAAGGAUAAUUCUGGUAAGAGUGGUAUGAGAAAAUGGAAGGUCUAUGGUAAGUUGUUUAUAAGAUCCCAGAAAGAAAAAUUAUUUGCUGAAUAUAAAAAGACAGAUAUAAACAUAUAUUAAAGAUAAUAAUAUAGAUUUUUAAAAAAUGUAGGCACUGCUUUAUAAAUGUUAGAAAGCAAUUGAGACAAGAAUUUUAAAAAUCGAGCAAGCAAGAUGGAUUAAGCUAAUAUAGUAAAUAGUAAUUCCUUAGACUCUUAAAAAUGGUAGUGUUUGAAGUUUGCUUUUUUUUUUUUUAUUAAAGAUUCCAGGAAAUUAGAGGCUUUUGGGUAAUGUUUAAAUCAUUGGGAAUUGAUCUGACAUUUAAUGGCAAAACGUUGACUGUCUAAGGUCAAUGGGUCAGGGCACCUCCAUUACCUAACCUUAGCUGGUCUUUCUUUCCAUGACAUAUCAGAGUAUUGAUCUGGGUUAUUAUAUGAGGUUGGGCGUGGAGUUCUCUAUCUUUAUUUUAAACUUCUUAAAAUGCAGAGUCUAACUAGUAUAUUAUAUCCUGCCAUGAUUUGCAUUUUUAUGUGAUCCCACUGAAGGGAUGUGCUCUGUCUCUUAUUUAUCUUUCUACUUCGCCUGUACUCCCUGGACAAAACUUGAGUCUUCUUCUGACAUUCUCUAUCCAAUGUCCAUUCACUGGGAGUCUUUCUUAACAUUCUGUAGGCUUUUAUUUUAUGUUUUGCCUUCAAACUUAAUUGAUCCUCCAAACUUCAGUGAUGCUACAAGAAGUGAAGUCAGUUCUGGUGUUCACUGAGCUGUGAUACUGACUCAGAUAAAAUCUGCUAUCUAUAUUGAUAAACCUGCCUUUACAUUUCAGACCCAUUUUCAACAAAAGUGUCCUAGCUUAACUGUGAUAAAUAUUCGACCCUUACUUACAUACUUUCUGUUUGGACUCUGUUUGAAGAUUAAUUGUUUUUUUCAGUCUACCUCUUAGUUGUAUUUUAUUUGAAUGUGGAAAUGUUGGGCACUGGCUUCAUAGGUUCAAACUUAUUCUUAGAUUUAAACAAUGAAGGAAUGAUAUUUUUUAUAUUGAAGUAUAGUUGAUUUACAGUGUUUUGGUAUACAGAAAACUGAUUCAUUUAUGUGUACAUAUAUAUGUGUAUGUGUGUGGCUGUGUGUAUAUAUAUGCAUAUAUACUAUUUUUCACAUCCUUUUCCAUUAUAGGUUACUACAAGAUAUUGAACACAGUUCCCUAUGAUGUAUAGUAGAUCCUUGUAGCUUAUUUAUUUUAUAUACAGUAGUGCAUAUCUGUUAAUCCCAAACUCCAAAUCCAUCCCUCCCUCCCACCCCUGCCAUUUGAAAACCACAAGUGAGUUCUCUGUGUUUGUGCAUCUGUUUCUGUUUCAUGAAUAAGUUCAUUUGUAUCAUAUUUUAGAUUCCACAUGUAAAUGAUAUCAUGUGGUAUUUGUCUUUGUCUGACUUUACUUAGUAUGAUAAUCUCUAGGUUCAUCCAUAUGCUGAAAAUUUUUUAUAACUGAGUAAUAUUCCAAUGAAAGAAUAAUUUAAUUUAAUUUCUAACACUAAAAUAUAGUGUUAGACUAAAUAGAGACUAAAAUAUAGUGUGAGUAUUAGACACUAAAAAUAUAAAUAUUUUUAUCUUUUCCAAACAGCUUUCAGAUAUAUUUUCUUACUUUACUAUCAUAACUCAUCUAGGAAAUAAGAGUAUACACUAAUUUAUGAGAUCAAGAAAAUACAUUCUCAUUACAGAUGAAUAAUAUAUAGGAAUAGUUUGCUCUGCAAAGGGCCCCAAACAAUUGAUUGUUGAACCUGCAUCUUACCCUGUGCUGUGCUCACACUCUCUGUUGUGUUCGAAGCCCUCUGGGCUCCUCUGUUCAUGGGGUUUCCCAAGCAAGACUACUGAAGUGGUGCCUUUCCCUCUUCAGGGAUCUUCCACACCCAGGGACUGAACCUACGUCUCUUACAUCUCCUGCAUUAGCAGGUGGGUUCUUUAUCACUGGUGCCACCUAGAAAGGUAUGGUAGAGAUUACAAGUUGGCCACCCAAAUCUGUGCCCUACUGCUUCUGAAGUAAGAUAAUGUCAUAACUGGGAUGAAGCUUUCCGGCCAAUGACUGUAUUUUCCUGUUCCCUCUGCAGCUAGUUGUGACCCUAACACUAAGCUCUCUCCGGUGAAGUGUGAGCAAAAGUGAUAGACACCAUUCAAGACUUGUCUUGAUAACUUGCAUGCUCACUUCUACAGCUUUUAUUUUUCUUUCCCAUGGGCUGAAAUAGUCAUGACAAGAUGGACCUUAAGAACCACACGUUGAAGAUGGAAGGAUUAGCCUCAUUCUGGGUGGGGUUCCUGCGUGACUGAGUGGAGCAGGGUCUCCCCGCUAUCUCAUUUCCCUCUCAGAUUGUUAGUUAAAAGAUAAAUUUACUUGUAUUUUAUUUCAACCACUACAUUUUCAGGGAUAUUUGUUUAGUAGUUUAAAUAAUAUGGACAGCUACUUGAUCUGACUGGGAAAACCUUCAAGAGCAUUUAGAUCAGGGCUGAUGAUGAGACUGAAAAUGAUCAAGUCCUGACUUUUCACCCUCUCUCCAUCAUAUAUUUGAUGGGGAGGAAAAAGGUUAGGAGCACAAGAGAGAAGGAUGAAAGAUAGGUAGGUCAAAGGUGAGGAAGGCAGUGUACAGCAAGAGUUGAACUACCGAGAUGUUUUCACUUCCUCAGAAAUGAGUGGACUAAAAACGUUUAAAAUUUGAACCAAAGAGGGAGGCAGCUGGGGGAAGUAUGGAGCUGGAGAUUGGGAUUAGCAGAUGUAAGUUUAUAGAAUGGAUAAACAGCAAGGUCCUUCUGUAUAGGCAACUAUAUUCAAUAUCCCAUGAUAAACCAUAAUGUCACUUUGCUGUAUGACAGAAAUUAAUAAAGCAUUAUAAAUCAGCUAUAGUUCAAUUUAAAAAUUUAAUUGAACAGAAACAUCCCCCCUCCCUUUUUUAAAAAAUACAUAUAGUCCUCAUCGAGUAUUCUAAACUUAUGAGAUGUUACCAGCUAAUAAAUUCUAAAUUCCUUGUGUUUGAUUCACUCUUUGUUCCAGUGAGUCAAACACCAAGAAUUUAGCCAGGGUUCUAAAAUAAGCACCACGAGAGCAGUUUCACCGGACUGCUAGUGCUGCAGAAAGUAACCUCCACGUUUGCUUCUUAAGUCUUUUCCAGUCAAAUUGUGCCUUUUUUCUGUAACACGUGUCACUUAGAUUUUAUCUUAGUAGGUCAUCUCAAAAGUCUCGCGUGCUAAAAUCCAGAGAAAUAGAGAUAAGCAUCACCAACACUUAUUGUUGAUAGAACUACUUAAUAUUGUCCAGAGAUUGCUCACACAUGAGAACAGGGCCAGACAGAGACUUUAAAGGGCUCUCACAGGUGAAACCAUGGCAGGAGUAUGUGCCAUAACCCACAGUCAUCACUGCCCUAAUAGUAUCUGACCUGAACCUGGCAGAGCUUCAGAAAAAGCCAUGUGUUCAGGCUAAAAAGGAGAAGGUUGCUCUUUCCUAAUGUGGUAAAUAGGGCAUGAAAGUUUUAUAGUUUGCUAGUAGAACCAGUUUUACAACUUUCCUACUUACCCAUAGGGCUUAUUUAGCCUUAAGGGAGAAAAAGAUGUUUUUAGCCAGAAAAUGCCUGAAGAUUUUUGGUAGAAUGUUUGAAUUCGGUAUACAGAAUGAAGAACUAGAUUAAAGUUGUUAUGUCUGCAUUUACUGGGACAAAGUUGAAACUAGAACUAUUGCAUUAAAAUUUUGUUCAUGUGUGCCAUGCUUCCCAUGUCUGUUUUUGGCAAGGGGAAGUGAUAAAGAAAGCUUCUUAUGUGUCCCCUUAAACUGUGUAGAGUUAGGGGGGGUCUAAACCCUCUCCAUUGAAAAUCUGAAUAUAACUUCAUAGCUGGCCUUCCAUAUUCAGGGCUCUACAUCCACAAACUCAACCAUCAUGGAUCAUGCAGCACUGUGGCAGUGGUGUAGUUGCUAAGUCAUGUCCUAUUUCUUGUGAACCCCAUGGACUGUAGCCCACCAGGCUUCUGUGUACUAAGGAUUUUCUAGGCAAGAAUACUGGAAAGGGUUGCCAUUUCCUUCUCCAAGGAUCUUCCCAACACAGGGAUCAAACCUGGGUCUCCUGCAUUGCAGGCAGAUUAUUCACCAACUGAGCUACCUUAGCACUGUAGUAUGUAUGUAUUUAUUUAUUUUUUUUAAGAUUCACUCAUAAGUGGACCUGCACAGCUCAAACCUGUGUUGUUCAAGGGUCAAAUGUAUUACUUUGGUAGAAUCCUCAUAUUCGUUUAAAUUGCUCUCCCAGAUUGUUCACUUUAAAUAUUAAGAAGUGAUCAUUCGUUUAAUGGAUCUGGGUCAUUGACUUCUCUCAGUUUGGAGAAGAAAUAACUUUAAGAUAUUCCCUUGCUGCUGCUCCUGCCAAGUCACUUCAGUUGUGUCCGACUCUGUGCGACCCCAUAGACGGCAGCCCAAUAGGCUCCCCCAUCCUUGGGAUUCUCCAGGCAAGAACACUGGAGCCAGUUGCCAUUUCCUUCUCCAAUGCAUGAAAGAGAAAAGUGAAAGUGAAGUCGCUCAGUCGUGUCCGACUCCUAGCGACCCCAUGGACUGCAGCCUACCAGGCUCCUCUGUCCAUGGGAUUUUCCAGGCAAGAGUACUGGAGUGGGGUGCCAUUGCCUUCUCUGAGAAAUUCCCCACCAGGUAUCAAUAUGUGUGCCCCUCUGGGUGAGUCUGUGUGAGAAAGACAAUGACAGAGAAAUGACACAGAAAGAGGAGACAGAAACCGUGAUGUCUUAAGGUAAUAAAAUCAUCUGCAAAGCUAUUGAACAAUACUAUAUUUGCACAUCUCAAGUUUCUUUUUCCUCUGAGUUUCAGUAUCACUCAGCUGAGUUGACUUCUCAGUAUGUCUGCUAUUGCCGACGGUUCUGAGAGAGCAGUGCAAGAGACAGACGAGGAGAAAAGGACUCUAUGUGAGUUUAUAUGUAAAGUUCAUCUUAUUCAUUCCUCUGUGUUCAUUCAGUUAUUGGGAAGAACUCUAUCAGUUCUUUCCUUUAACAACUUCUCUGUUUUGACGAAGAUGAAUCAACGUCAGCUUUUUGUGACCCUUAGGGAAAUAUUCUAUAUCUAGUGAUGAAAUUGAUUUUAUUAAAGCUAGUGUGAAAUCUCUGAUUCCCCAGGAAGAAAAUUAUAUUUUUCCUCACUGAAGAUUGAAUCAGAAAAAAAUAACCUGAAUAAAUAUUAUAUUCAAUUUCAAAAGAUAUAAAUAGAGAGUAUGCACAGAUUAUCUUUAAACUUCAAGUUGGGAACUAAAUACACUUACGCAUUGACCUAGUCCAUGGCAUUGCAGAGUCGGACACGACUAAGCCAGUAUUUUAUAUAUUCUUAAUUGAUAAUAGUGAUAAAAUUUAUAAAGAUUCACUAAUAGAGUGUUAUCUGCUCAAAAAUUUCAUUACACUUAAACAACAUUUUUUCUGAAUCAAGAACAAAGUGUCUUUCUUCCUUCCUUCAUUUGAGAAGCUAAAAUAAGUUUUUGUCCUUAACUUUUACCUUAAAGCUCUGGCUAUGCAGCUUAUAGCCGGUUUUACAAGAUAUCUUUACAUCUUCUUCCACAAGGACCUCUCUGAUAUUUAGAGCCAAUCCUGGCAGGAGUUUUGAGGUUUUAAAACAAUCACAAAGUUUUCUUGUUUCUAAUGAUUCUCCAGGACUGUGAGAACUCAGGUAUGCUGGAAAGGUACUUGAAAAGAACAAGAAGUUCAAGAUGGCUUUGUUCCAUUCAAAUUAGGGUAGCUGCUUUACUGCUACAAAUAUUUUCUCCCCCAGUAAAGCUGUUUCUCUGUGUUUUUCCCAUCCCCCAAACUUAGCAUUUUAGAUCACAUAUGCACACAAGGAAUGUAGCAGUAUUAUCAACAAGUAGUCCAUAUUUUUGUUAAGUAAACUGGGGAAAUUAGAACUGAUUUCUUAUUACUGAAAAGAUGCUGUUGUCAGAAUAAAUGACUGCUUGAGCAAGAAGGGGAAAUUCAACCACUUGUCAACCCCCAUCUCUCAGGGCAAGGUUGCAUUCAGGCUAAAAAUGAGAGGCUAACCAGUUGAAAAUGAAGACUCUUUACAUACUCUUUUGGACUCAAUUCUUAUUUCAUUGUCUCCUAGGAAGGAGACUGGAGAAGGCAGUGGCACCCCACUCCAGUACUCUUGCCUGGAAAAUCCCAUGGACGGAGGAGCCUGGUGGGCUGCAUUCCAUGGGGUCGCUGGGAGUCGGACACAACUAAGCGACUUCAUUUUCACUUUUCACUUUCAUGCACUGGAGAAGGAAAUGGCAACCCACUCCAGUGUUCUUGCCUGGAGAAUCCCAGGGACAGAGGAGCCUGUUGGGCUGCCGUCUAUGGGGUCGCACAGAGUCAGACACGACUGAAGCGACUUGGCAGCAGCAGCAGCAGUAGGAAGGAGACUGUGUUUUCCCUCCCAAGCAACUAGCAGCAGAGGGUAUCUUUUCUUGGACAAGCUGAAAUUUGUCUCCUUGUCAAAGGACAUGGACGAGGUCAGAGAAGACGUCUGCCUCCCAGAACCAAAGUGCAGAAAUGGUGAUUCUGGUUCAUGACAAGAAUGACGAGUUCUUAUCGGCAGAGCAAUCAAGCAAGAUGCCAUCGUGCUCACUGGACCAAAAUUGCAGCUUUGAUUGAAAAAUUAUAUAGAGGACUUUUUGAGCCAUGCCAAGAACCCCUUUCCCAUUUUAGUGUCACCAGUGGUUAGUUUGCUUAUUACGUGUGACAUCAUUUUUUAAAAGCCACGAAACCAUGCAAAGAAUAGAAAGACCAUAAUAUGAACCAAGGGGAUACCACUGCUCAAAAAGCAAAAAUGCUAGUGCAUUAAACAUGUCCUCUGCAUGGGCAGAGGAGCCCAGUGGGCUACAGUCCGUGGGGUCGCAAAGAGUCAGACAUGACUGAGCGGCUAACACACUGCAGGGAUUAAAAAGAGUAAACUAUUUGAAACCGAAUGAAUGUGAUUGGAAUAUUUCUACAUGUCUUUUCGCUCCAACUUUUUAUUUUGAAAAAUUGAAAAUGUACAGAAAAUUGCAAGUACAUGCGUAUGCCCUUAAUGUUGGUGGUGUUGUUUAAUUACUCAGUCAUUUCCAACUCUUUUUACAACCCCAUGGACUGUAACCUGCCAGGCUCCUCUGUCCACGGGAUUCUCCAGGCAAGAAUCCCACUGGAGUGGGUUGCCAUGCCCUCCUCCAGGGGAUCUUCCUGACCCAGGGAUUGAACUGCAUCUCCUGCACUGUCCCCUGCAUUGCCAGGCAGGUUCUUUACCACUAAGCUACCAGCAAAGAUACAAAUAGGGUAUCCUCUAUCCAUAGUGGCUAUUUGGCACUUGGAAGCGACUAGUCCAUUCUGAGCUGUGCUGUUCUAUAUGCCUUUCUAAAAUUAAAUACUUUUUAGAGUUUUCUGAAAAGUGAAUAGAAUCUUGGCCCCUAAACCAAGCAGAUAAAAAUUAUAUAUAUAUGUACAACAUAUUAUAUAUACACAAAUAUACAUGGAUUUAUAUUAAUAAAUAUAAAGAACAUGUAUUUGUGUAUCUCUGAGUACAUAUGUUUCUCCAUGGAUCUAGUCUUCAUUUUCAGUAAAUCACUGAGAAAAAGGUGAUUGUUUAGAAAGGCAGGAUGAAAGGGUAGUCAUCCAGCUUUUAAAAUGUUAUUCAUGUUUCUCCUAAGGAGUAGAUAGAAGCUUGAUGAGAAUUUUAUUUAUUCUCACAUGAAGUAUAUAAUAAAGUAGAAAUAACAGAAUUUUUCCUUUUUGUAAAAUAAAAACAUAUAUCAAAAAUGGAAAAUUUAAACACCAAGACAAUGGUGAUAGUGAUUUUACAAGAGUUUAGAUCUAAAACUUAUCUGUUUGAAAUACUUUUUCUUCCUUCUCCUGCUCCAAUGCAAGCUGAAACAUAAAUAUAGAAUUGUUAAAUUCAUUUGUAACGUGGUCUAAAUCCAAUAUUCAAUAUUCAAAGAUUCAAUACACUGUUGGUAAAGGGGGCUUCCCAGGUGGCGCUAGUGGUAAAGAACCUGCUUGCCAAUGCAAGAGAUGGAGAUUUAAGAGACAUGGCUUUGACCUCUGGGUUGAGAAAAUCCCUUGGAGAAAGGCACGGCAACCCACUCCAGUGUUCUUUCCUGGAGAAGCCCUUGGACAGAGGAGCUUGAUGGGCUAUGUUCCGUAGGGUCACUAAGAGUUAGAUGUGACUUAGCAAGCAUGCAGUUACAUGCCCAAAGGAAUGCUGUUUGCUUCUAAUUAAUCCCUCUCUUUGCAAGAUGAUUCUUUCACGCUUUUUUUUUAAAGCAUACUUUUAUUACUAUCCACGGAAGUUUUAUGUCAUGCUUCUGGGUAAGUAGAUUUGAACCUGACAAACUUGUUUAAAACCAAACAGGAUGAUAAGAUUGAUAAAACUGCCUGUAUUAAUCUGCUUAGGCUGCCAUAAUAAAAUGUCAUAGAUUGAGUGGUUUACACAACAGAGAUUUAUUUCCCACAAAUCUGGAGGCUGGAAGGCUCAAGAUCGAGGUGCUGUCAUGGUAGGUUUCUUUCUGAGGUCUCUUCUUUAGGUUGUAGGGGUCUGCCUCCUGGCUGUGUGCUCACUUGGCCUUUUGGUGUGUAAGCUUGAAGAGAAAAAGAGAGAGAGAGAGAGAGAUUUCUCUUCUUAUAAAGCUACUAGUCCUAUCAGAUUAGGGUCCCACCUAACAUUUGAGUUUAAUUUCCUCCUGAAGAGGAUGAGAUGGUAGGAUGGCAUCACUAACUCAAUGGACUGAGUUUGAGUAAUCUCUGGGAGUUGGUGAUGGAUAGGGAAGCCUGAUGUGCAUGACUGAGUGACUGAACUGACCUGAACUGAAGUCCUCCUGAAGACUUAUCUCCAAACAUAGCCAGUUUGGGGAAUAUGAUUACAACAUGUCAAUUUUUGAAUGAUACAGUUCAGUCCACAGCACUAUCUGAAUUUUUGACCCUCCAAAAGGCACUAGUCAUUAAAAAAACAAGGCCAGUUCCAUGCAUAUGUUUGUUUAUGGCAAAGCGAAAAUAUGUUAUGAUAUGCCAGUGUUGUUUGAGAAAAUAUUCUAACCACUUCUCUUUUAGCUUUAAAUCAAUAAGGUAAGAUAUUUGUUUUGCGGGAAACUUGAAAAAUGGAGAAAAAAUGAAGAAAAUUGAAACUAUAGUAUAUUAUCAAAACUCUCUGAGAAGCGUUUUUGAGAGUGAAAGAAAGUGAAAGCGAACGUGAAAUCGUUCAGUUUUGUCUGACUCUAUUGUAGCCCACCAGGCUCCUUCUCUGUCCAUGGGAUUUUCCAGGCAAGAAUACUGGAGUGGGUUGCCAUUUUCUUCUCCAGGAGAUCUUCCCAACUCAGGGAUCGAACUCAGGUCUCCUGCAUUGCAGGGAUACUCUUUACCCUCUAUGCCACCAGGGAAUUUUGACAGUACCUUUUCUAAAUAUAUAUAAAAUAUAUACGUUUAUUUCUAAAUAUAUAUAACACAUAUUUAUAUAUCUUUCUCAAGCUUGGAAUCAUAUAUAUGAGAAAUAUUACAUCAUGUUUUUUGUACUUAAAGUUUUAUCGUGAAAUUUUUUCAGAAAAAUAAUUUGGGAAAUUACUGUUGUUUUCAUUUUUCAUUGUUUUACAUGAGACCAUGGGUUUAUUCUUGUUUUCAUUUACUCAUCAUUGUGCAUAAAUAUUUGGUGCAAGUCUGAUUAUUUUCUCAGCAUAAUUCCCAAAGAGGAAAAUUACUAGGUCAGAAGAUGUCAAUAAUUUUUGAUACUUGACUCAUAUUGCUGAAUAGUUCUCCAGCAAUAUUGUAUCACAUGAAACUCUUACAUGAUAUUUGAGAGGAACAACUUCAUUUGCCAGCGCUAGUCAUUAUACUUAAAAACAUCUUUCUCAAUUUGUAAAGGAGUCUGAAUCUGGUUUCAUUUUGCAACUGAGAAUUGACUCUGUGUGUGUGUGUGUAUCAGACUUUUUCUCCAUUUGGAAUUGUCUAUUCCCAUUUUUGCCUGUUUUUCUUCUCAUGGAGUCUAAGUUUUCUUAGUCAUUUGUUUUUCCGUUGAUUUAUUAUUAUUCAACUGUUUGUCAUAUAACACCGCAGUUUAUUUUUGCCAGGUUUUCUUUAUAUUUGGCUGUAUCGGGUCUUAGUUGUGGCAUGCCGAUAUUUGUUGAGUCAUGUAAGAUAUUUUGUUGCCAUGCACAGACACUAACUGUGGUGAGUGGGUUCAGCAGUUGCUGCGUGCAGACUUAGUUGUCGUGCAGCACGUGGGUGGAAUCUUAGUUCCUCGACCAGGGAUUGAACCUGUGUCGCUUGCAUUACAAUGUGGAUUUUUAACUAGUGGACCACCAGGGAAGUCCCCUGCCAGGUUUUCUUUUGACACUUGAUUUUGUGUAUUUAUUUUAUAGAAAUUUUCACAACUGUAGCAAAUCUAUCGAUCUUAUCCUGCCUGGAAAUGAUUCUCAAAUUUAAUGUGCAUCACGAUCUCUUAGUGUUUUCACUAAAACACGGAUUUCUGGGCUCUACUAUCAGGGAGUAGUUUUCAAUAAUCUUUUGGUAUGGCCCUGGCAACCGUUUCAGCAGUAACCCAGCUAACUUUAAAUGAAGUAGUUAAUGAAUCAUACUGAGAAAUACUGCCUUGCAAUUUCUUACUUUGCAUUAAUACUUAGAUAAGGCUUCUCAUGAUAAUAUCACAUAUAAAUGAAAGUGUGAAAGUGUAGGUCACUAAGUUGUGUCCGACUCUUUGUGACCCAUGGACUGUGGCCCACCAAGCUUCUCUGUCCAUGGAGUUCUCCAGGCAAGAAUACUGGAGUGGGUAGCCAUUCCCUUCUCCAGGGGAUCUUUCCAACCCAGGACAGAACUGGGGUCUUCUGCAUUGCAGGCAGAGUCUUUACCAUCUGAGCCACCAGGGAAGGCCAAUAGCUAUCUGUAUUUUCUCCUGUUUUCUCAUUUAGCCACUUUUCUGCAUCAAUCUACUUAGUACUGCUGGAAUUUAUGUUACUAUGUGUUGUAUCCCAAAACAUUGAACCAUUUUCCUAGCACAAUUCAUUGAACAGCAACACGUUUCCUCAAUAAUUUAUAAUUCCAAUGUAUCCUUUACUACAAUUUUAUAAAUAUUUGAGCCCUUUGCUGUGCAUGUUUUUCUGUCCCACUGAAAUGUCUAUUCUGGAUACUGUUUUCAUUACUAUAUAUUUUUAAUGUAACUGUUACUAUGAAAAAUAUCCUGUUCUCAGGAUUCUUCUUACUCAGAACUAUUUUGGCAAUUCUUACCUGUAUAAUUUUAAAACAAUCAGUUUGUCAUAUUAAAAUAAUUUUUGAAAGUUUAUUGGAGCUAUAUUUAAUAUAUAAUAUAUAUAUAUAUAUUUUAUAUCACAUCUGUGCAGCAUUAUAGCUUCUCACCUAAAACUAAGCCCCAAAGGUCACACUUACUAAUACUAUCAUCUUUGGGAAUGAAGAUUUCAACACAUGAAUUUUAGGGGAUAGAAACAUUCAGAUUAUAGCAACCAUAAAGGAAGCUUUGCAACCUGUAUGGAAACCCUUGUCUCUUUCCAGCCUCUUAUGGUUUGCUGGCCAACUUUGGUGUUCCCUGGCUUGCAGUUGUAUAAAUUCAAUUGUCAUAUGGCAUUCUCCUUAGUAAUGUAUAUGUGUAUAUAUAUAAUUAUUAAAACUUUAGAAAAUUAGGAUAUGUUUUUAUUAAUAUAAACUCCUAAGCUAUUCCAAUCAAUAUUAAAACAUGGAUACUGAUACAGGUUUGUGAGAUUUUCUCUGCGUAGUCUCACAUACAUACAUAUAUUCGUAUACAUGAAAAUAUAAAUUUUUUCAUGCUUUGUACUAUUUCCCAAGAUUCCUAAUACUCCACAGUUACUAAGGUAGGCAAUGUUGUCAUAAGACGUCACAAGAGGUCUGAAAUGAGACAAGCAUUUGAAGUCUAUGACCUAAUAUAUCUUUUUCCUUCAGAGUUUAGAAAAUGAUUUUAUUUUAUUUUUUCUGUGAUUGAGUAAAAAGCUGUUAAAAUUCUAUUUCCCUUCAAAAACUUCCAGUAUAAUGAAGACUUCUGAAAAUUUUAAAAUUUUCUCUGCCAAGCAGUUUCCCUGUAUUUAAGAAUUUAUGAGUAUGUGCAAUAUAUGUCCCCUCUAAAACACAAAUAGAAUAUAUUUUAUUAUUUAUUAAGAAAAAUUUUGAUUAAUUAAAUAGAUAUUAGAAUUGUACAUCGUUUUAAGGUUGUUUGAUUCAAAAGAGUAUUUGGUUUCAGUGAUAACUUGCAUUAUGAAAAUACUUCAAAAUGUGAUCUUAUUUCCUUCUCAUAAUCUCUCCUCAG